CCUACGGGUGGCAGCAGUGGGGAAUAUUGGACAAUGGGGGGAACCCUGAUCCAGCCAUGCCGCGUGUGUGAAGAAGGCCCUCGGGUUGUAAAGCACUUUCAGUGAGGAAGAACGCCUGGUGGUUAAUACCCAUCAGGAAAGACAUCACUCACAGAAGAAGCACCGACUAACUCCGUGCCAGCAGCCGCGGUAAUACGGAGGGUGCGAGCGUUAAUCGGAAUUACUGGGCGUAAAGCGCGCGUAGGUGGCUUGAUAAGCCGGUUGUGAAAGCCCCGGGCUCAACCUGGGAACGGCAUCCGGAACUGUCAAGCUAGAGUGCAGGAGAGGAAGGUAGAAUUCCCGGUGUAGCGGUGAAAUGCGUAGAGAUCGGGAGGAAUACCAGUGGCGAAGGCGGCCUUCUGGACUGACACUGACACUGAGGUGCGAAAGCGUGGGUAGCAAACAGGAUUAGAUACCCGUGUAGUC
rnacentral:rRNA from 1 species